CCUACGGGAGGCAGCAGUGGGGAAUAUUGGACAAUGGGCGAAAGCCUGAUCCAGCCAUGCCGCGUGUGUGAAGAAGGCCUUCGGGUUGUAAAGCACUUUCAGUGGGGAAGAAAGCCUUGGGGCUAAUACCCUCGAGGAAGGACAUCACCCACAGAAGAAGCACCGGCUAACUCCGUGCCAGCAGCCGCGGUAAUACGGAGGGUGCGAGCGUUAAUCGGAAUUACUGGGCGUAAAGCGCGCGUAGGCGGUCUGAUAAGCCGGUUGUGAAAGCCCCGGGCUCAACCUGGGAACGGCAUCCGGAACUGUCAGGCUAGAGUGAAGGAGAGGAAGGUAGAAUUCCCGGUGUAGCGGUGAAAUGCGUAGAGAUCGGGAGGAAUACCAGUGGCGAAGGCGGCCUUCUGGACUGACACUGACGCUGAGGUGCGAAAGCGUGGGUAGCAAACAGGAUUAGAUACCCUAGUAGUC
rnacentral:rRNA from 1 species